rnacentral:rRNA from 1 species
AUGGUGUGGUAUAAAAACAGGGGCGAUGGGCGAGCUGCUUUCCUUCGCCUUCUCCUUGCCCAACUAGCUAAGAUUGAUUUGAAAAAAAUCACUGCCCUGGAUUCGAUGGGGCGAUCUCUUGCUGAAUCAGGGACUAGUGGGACGACCAGAGGUGAAGAUGACGAUGCGUUACCGACGUUGCCUGAUCCGCCGUCGUCUCCUUCCUAUGUUGAGUCGGCAGCUAGCGCUUGGAGCACCACAGAUCUGCCGGACGAAGACGGCGGCGGCAACGGGGCGGGCGAUGUCGUCCAAGGGGAUAAGCGCAUGAUUCUGUCACUGAACCAGUUAGAAGGGGCAGAGGACAAGCAAGAAUCAAUGGAGGAAGGAUUCGGCGAUUAUGAUUCAGUUGGUGCUGUCGAAUCGACGAACAGCAAUGGAGGCUUGGUCAUCAACGCCAUACCUGAAAUCCGGGGCGCGCAGGAGGGGGAAGAUUCUUUCGAUGAGGAUGCAACUACCAGCCGUUUCAGUAAGAGACGCCGCAUGAUAGAGUAG